CAAAUAGUGUUUAAUGGCAACACACCCUGGUAAUGGGAGUUCUGGGUUCGAUUCCCAGUUUGUUUA
rnacentral:tRNA from 1 species